rnacentral:rRNA from 1 species
AUGUCAGUCACUCGGAAGCAACUCCAUAUAAGUUGCUGGCUCUGGGCUUUUGAACAGUGCGCCCUCAUUUCCCCUCUUUCUUCUCGAAUAUCUCCGCCACUUCCGCUCCCAUCCCGGUGCCAUCGGUCCGUUCGAGCUUCGUCUGCGACGAUGGUGAAGGAGAAGAUGGCGACCCUGGAGCGCGCGAAGAAGACGGCGGCGCAGGCGAAGGCGAAGAAGUCCGGCCGGGGCGGAUCUUCCUCGAGGUCUGCCUUGCCGUGGGUCUGGAUCCAGGGUGACUGGAUGCCCUCGGCGAUUCGUCAGGAUGACAUUGACGACCUGGUCGAGGGGGGACUCAUUCCUCACGGAUCUGCGCGCCUCCUGGGGAACGAGAUCGAGCCGCAGCCUCUCAAGGGUGAGUGUGUCCUUAUCGCCACUCACGUCGACCGCGGAUUCUCCCUGCCCCCUCAUCCUUUUUUCCGGAGUUUCUUGAACUUUUUCGGAGCGCAACUCCAUCACUUUACUCCAAAAUUCCAUCGUGUACCUUGCUACCCUCUUGUCGCUGUGCGAGAAUUUCUGGGGUUGCCGUCCUCAUUGGGGCCUCUUCAAGCACAUUUUUACUUGUCGUUCUCAGUCAGUUAA